rnacentral:misc_RNA from 1 species
GUAUAAGUUUAUCAACGCCGUUUUAAAGCGAGGAUAUGGAUUUUACAUUCUAUGAAAACAUGCGUGUAUGAAGACGUAGGGGCCUUUUUUACGGACCCUUACAUUGGGUUCACGGUGUGUGUGUGGAUUAAAGGCUCAGGUGUGCACAUGCCCCAAAAGGCCAGCUACAACCCUCACCAGUAAUUUUCAAUAAUGAUCCUUCCGCAGGUUCACCUACGGAAA